rnacentral:snRNA from 1 species
UUGGAUUGGGUGAGCAUA